rnacentral:rRNA from 1 species
UACGAAGGGGGCUAGCGUUAAUCGGAAUUACUGGGCGUAAAGCGUGCGCAGGCGGUUAUGCAAGACAGAUGUGAAAUCCCCGGGCUCAACCUGGGAACUGCAUUUGUGACUGCAUGGCUGGAGUGCGGCAGAGGGGGAUGGAAUUCCGCGUGUAGCAGUGAAAUGCGUAGAUAUGCGGAGGAACACCGAUGGCGAAGGCAAUCCCCUGGGCCUGCACUGACGCUCAUGCACGAAAGCGUGGGGAGCAAACAGG